UACGUAGGGGGCUAGCGUUGUCCGGAAUCAUUGGGCGUAAAGAGCGUGUAGGCGGCUUGGUAAGUCCGCUGUGAAAGUCCAGGGCUUAACCCUGGAAAGCCAGUGGAAACUGUCAAGCUAGAGUCCGGAAGAGGUGAGUGGAACUCCUGGUGUAGCGGUAAAAUGCGCAGAUAUCAGGAAGAACACCAAUGGCGAAGGCAGCUCACUGGGACGGUACUGACGCUGAGACGCGAAAGCGUGGGGAGCAAACAGG
rnacentral:rRNA from 1 species